GAGUUUGAUCACUGGCUCAGAUUGAACGCUGGCGGCAUGCUUUACACAUGCAAGUCGAACGGCAGCACGGGAGCAAUCCUGGUGGCGAGUGGCGAACGGGUGAGUAAUGCAUCGAAACGUGCCCAGUCGUGGGGGAUAACGCAGCGAAAGCUGCGCUAAUACCGCAUACGAUCUAUGGAUGAAAGCGGGGGACCGUAAGGCCUCGCGCGAUUGGAGCGGCCGAUGUCAGAUUAGGUAGUUGGUGGGGUAAAGGCUCACCAAGCCAACGAUCUGUAGCUGGUCUGAGAGGACGACCAGCCACACUGGGACUGAGACACGGCCCAGACUCCUACGGGAGGCAGCAGUGGGGAAUUUUGGACAAUGGGCGCAAGCCUGAUCCAGCAAUGCCGCGUGCAGGAAGAAGGCCUUCGGGUUGUAAACUGCUUUUGUACGGAACAGAAAAGGCUCUGGUUAAUACCUGGGGCUCAUGCGGACCGAAG
rnacentral:rRNA from 1 species